rnacentral:rRNA from 1 species
UAUGGGGGAUACCUUGGCAUUCAGAAGCGAUGAAGGACGUGGUUACCGACGAUACGCUUCGGGGAGCUGGAAACAAGCUACGAUCCGGAGGUCUCCGAAUGAGGAAACUUUAAUAAUAACUGCUUAUUGAAUUCAUAGAUAAGUAAGAGCGAACCUAGGGAAUUGAAACAUCUUAGUACCUGGAGGAAGAGAAAGUAAAAACGAUUCCCUGAGUAGCGGCGAGCGAAACGGGAACAGCC